UGGCGGCAGGCUUAACNCAUGCAAGUCGAGCGGGCGUAGCAAUACGUCAGCGGCAGACGGGUGAGUAACGCGUGGGAACAUACCUUUUGGUUCGGAACAACACAGGGAAACUUGUGCUAAUACCGGAUAAGCCCUUACGGGGAAAGAUUUAUCGCCGAAAGAUUGGCCCGCGUCUGAUUAGCUAGUUGGUGAGGUAAUGGCUCACCAAGGCGACGAUCAGUAGCUGGUCUGAGAGGAUGAUCAGCCACAUUGGGACUGAGACACGGCCCAAACUCCUACGGGAGGCAGCAGUGGGGAAUAUUGGACAAUGGGGGGAACCCUGAUCCAGCCAUGCCGCGUGAGUGAUGAAGGCCCUAGGGUUGUAAAGCUC
rnacentral:rRNA from 1 species